rnacentral:rRNA from 1 species
GACGAACGCUGGCGGCGUGCCUAAUACAUGCAAGUUGAGCGCUGAAGGUUGGUACUUGUACCGACUGGCUGAGCAGCGAACGGGUGAGUAACGCGUGGGGAAUCUGCCUUUGAGCGGGGGACAACAUUUGGAAACGAAUGCUAAUACCGCAUAAAAACUUUAAACACAAGUUUUAAGUUUGAAAGAUGCAAUUGCAUCACUCAAAGAUGAUCCCGCGUUGUAUUAGCUAGUUGGUGAGGUAAAGGCUCACCAAGGCGAUGAUACAUAGCCGACCUGAGAGGGUGAUCGGCCACAGUGGGACUGAGACACGGCCCAAACUCCUACGGGAGGCAGCAGUAGGGAAUCUUCGGCAAUGGACGAAAGUCUGACCGAGCAACGCCGCGGGAGUGAAGAAGGUUGUCGGAUCGUAAAACUCGGUUGGUAGAGAAGAACGUUGGUGAGAGUGGAAAGCUCAUCAAGUGACGGUAACUACCCAGAAAGGGACGGCCAACUACGUG